CUGGGCGGCAUACACGCUACAAUCAAGGUGACAGACAAAGGGACCAAGCGAGGAUGAUCCAGCUAAUAAACAAAAUCCCUCUCAGUUCGCUUCUGUCUCCCACUCGCAUGCAUGAAGAAGGAAUCGCUAGUAAUCGCGGAUCAGCAUGGCUGAAUGAAUACGUUCCCGGGGCUACACACACCGUCCCUCCCACCAUGGGAGUUUGUUUCAACCAAAGGCAGUACGCUCAGCACUAGGAAGCAGCCGGCCUC
rnacentral:rRNA from 1 species